rnacentral:rRNA from 1 species
GACGAACCGUGCGAACGUUGUUCGGAAUCACUGGGCUUAAAGGGCGCGUAGGCGGGCGGCCAAGUCUGGAGUGAAAUCCCCCAGCUUAACUGGGGAACAGCUUCGGAUACUGGCCGUCUCGAGUGGGGUAGGGGCGUGUGGAACUGUAGGUGGAGCGGUGAAAUGCGUAGAUAUCGCUUGGAACGCCAAAGGUGAAAACAGGUUGCUGGGGUUGUGCCGACGCUGAGACACGAAAGCCAGGGGAGCAAACGGG